GGGCAUGUGGGGUAAUAAGGCAACCCAUUCCGUCAGAGGACGGAGAGAUGCAGGUGCAAACCCUGCCAUGCCCA
rnacentral:tRNA from 1 species